UUGAAAGGGAAACGAUUGAAGUCAGUCGUACCUGUGGGUAAUCAGCCUUUUGGGUGUGAUUAUGUGGAGUGUGAAGAGUUAAACGCCUUUAUGCCUGCAUAUUCGUGCACUUUGGGUGUAUUUACCCGUGUGGUAAGUUAACAUCAAUUUUGGUCGUCAUAGAAUGGCUGGAGGAAUGUAGCUUCGAUCUCGUAUUGAAGUGUUAUAGCCUUCGGUAGAUGUGGUGAUCGGGAUUGAGGAUUGCAACGAUACCCUUCGGGGCUAACCCGUUAGAUCAAAUUGAUGGUCGAUGGGUCACAUUCGUUAAGGAUGUUGACGUA
rnacentral:rRNA from 1 species